rnacentral:rRNA from 1 species
GGGGAAUAUUGGACAAUGGGGGGAACCCUGAUCCAGCCAUGCCGCGUGUGUGAAGAAGGCCUUCGGGUUGUAAAGCACUUUCAGUAGGGAGGAAAGCUCGGCAGCUAAUAUCUGCCGGGAUUGACGUUACCUACAGAAGCAGCACCGGCUAACUUCGUGCCAGCAGCCGCGGUAAUACGAAGGGUGCAAGCGUUAAUCGGAAUUACUGGGCGUAAAGCGCGCGUAGGCGGUUUGGUUAGUUGGAUGUGAAAGCCCCGGGCUCAAACUGGGAACUGCAUCCAAUACUGCCAAGCUAGAGUACGGUAGAGGGGGGUAGAAUUCCACGUGUAGCGGUGAAAUGCGUAGAGAUGUGGAGGAAUACCAGUGGCGAAGGCGGCCCCCUGGAUCGAUACUGACGCUGAGGUGCGAAAGCGUGGGGAGCAAAC